UUGUUAUGUUUGUCAAAAUUUAGUAAAAUAUAUUCAAAUAUAAUUAAAUUUAUUAAAACUUAACAAAUUUAAAAGUUUUUUUGUUUGGAGACCCGCUAUCUACAUACAAAAUACCGGUUUCUAUUUUUUUGGGUAUUUUUAGGGCCUGAAACUUUUAUCCAAAUGACCCAAACCCAACUGGACCCAACCCGAACCAGAACCGAAUAUUUAGAAUUAUUCUAUUGAGUAAUAAAUCAUAUACCGUUAAUCCCAAACCCGAACGGGUUCUAUCCGAACUCGAAUGGGUUACUCUUAUGCCCAACCCUAUUCUCUGAUUUAAUUAUCUAAAAACUCCCAAAAAAACAUAUGUUUUGCCGACUACUUUUUAUUUGAAAAAUUUUACAUCCUCUUCUGCCAAAAUCAUUUCAUAAGACAUCCCAAAAUCAUUUCAUUUUAUAUUCGUUUUUGAAAAUUCAAAUUAUGGCAUAUGCGAAAAAACUCUAAUUAUUUUUUUAUAACGAUGAUAUUAUUUUUUUCGCAAAAAUAGAAUCAUAUAAAGAUGAGAGGUAAAUUAUAAUAAUUAAUAAAAAAUUAAUAUGAUAAUUUAGAUAUCAAAUCUAAUUUGUUGAUUUUAAUUGGUUACUUUUUUGGAAAUUAAUAAUGUAUUUCGUUUUGAAUUAAAUUUAAUUAAUUAAAUUAGUAUUUGACUUUUUAAUUCUUAAAGAGAUGAAUUAAUUUACUCUUUAAAAUUUUAUUUCUAAUGGCAUACCUAUGUAAUUACUUACAAAAAUUAAGGUUACAUAAAAUGUAAUUCCCAAAUAGGGUGAGAAGAAGACGAGAGAAAUAUCACAACUA
rnacentral:sRNA from 1 species